CUGGUGGGGACCGGGUGGCCCCCGGUUUUGGAGCCUGGCGGUCGCCUGCCGGCGCCGGGCCGGGGGAGACCCGGGUGGGCGGGAGGCGGGAACCAACCGGAGGGGUGAACGGGCGCAGAGCGCACGUGCACGGGGCCAGAGCGCGCCCUGGAUUCAGACGCCGCCACCCGGGCUGUGAAUCUGUGCUUCUCUGCACGGCAGCCGGGAUAAAACUGACAGAAGGGAACCAACACUUUGGAAGCCAGAGAAAAAGGAAAGGGAAGCCACCAGCCCCGAAACACUGGCAAUACCUGCUGUUUAGGUGGUGCCUUCUAGCAAAUCCAAAGCGGUCCACACUGAUUAGGUUCUGCUGUAUACGACGGUUAUUUAUGCUUCAUCCCCCAUCUCCAACUCCAGAGCCCAGUACAAUUCAGGAAGAAACAAGAGGCCCCAAGGAUGCUCAUUUUGUCCAAAAGAGCCAGAAACUGAAAUGUCCCACCACAUGAAACCCGCUAGGGUAAGGGUUUGGUGACCUGAAUGAAGAGGCCGACCCAGGAGGACACCAGGAAAGCUCCGAUCUCCCUCCUGGGUGUUUUAGAUUAGUCUUGGGUCUGUGAAACUGCUCUUGGGAGCAAUGUUCUUGUCCAUGUGAGAUAAUUUAUCUCUUCCAUUUGGCAACCGGGAAAAUGUAAUUUUCUCCAUGUGAUGAGCAUGAAUGAGUGGCUCGUGCAUAGUGAAUGGCCGUCCUCCAAGUAGUGCGACAAGGGUGUAAAAUAUGCAUUUUAAUAUCAGAGUCCAUUGCCACACAAUACCAGGGGAGUGAAUGGGAACUGGGAUAUUUAUCUGAGUACCCUCCAUGACAUGUGUAUCACCUGUGUAUCAAUGGGUUGGUCUCCUGUGGAUGCUGCUAUCAGGAAAGAGAUUAGUCUUUAUUUUUACCCUGAGAGAAGACUCCUAAAGAAACAGCUGGGGCCUAGGAAGGGAUCGUUCAGCAGAAAAUAACCAUACAGAGCCCAGGGGUUGGGAAGAUCACCAGGUCAUUUUAGGGCUUUUUUUUUUCCUGGGAGUAAAAAUGUACCAGCUUUCCCCCAUGCCUAUGACUAGAAACCACAAGCUGUACCCUAGUGGCUAGGCCAGGGGUGCCAAUAUCUGUGGUGGUCCUGGAGGACGCAAAGGUAGGGAGUUGCUGAAUGGAGCAGGAAAGUGCCAUGCCUGCCUUGCUUAGGGUAUUUAGAUAUAAUGUUUUUAGUAUACUUGUAUGUACUGCCGAAGUGAGAACGAUAUAAUUUUUUUUAAAGGUUUUUAUUGGGGAACUAGGGGAAG